rnacentral:lncRNA from 1 species
AAUGUUUUUCCGAAAGAGUGAGAUUCGGAUGAAGGAAGGUAAGCGUGGGGCUCUCAGCGAUUGGAGGCCCGGUGUAAAGAACGAACUCGGAAGAGCAUCUUGAUGGAGUAGAACACACAGAUAGAAUGCUACGAUCGUUAUUAUAUAUUCAUAAAUUUUGUAUGAUGUCAUCAUUUACUAAUGUGUUAGUUGUAUAUGGUGACCGCAGGCUAUUCGGAUCAUUAUAUUCAUCAUGAGGAAGAAGAGCAUGAGGAUCGAGUUGAAGAUCAUGGACUGUACGGAAAAGUUGUCACGUGGGUUGUAUUCAUAUGUUAUAAAUGUUACUUUAACUAAGGAUGAACGAUGUACAUAGUAUAGAAGUCGUAUAAAUCGGUUUUCAAGUAUGUUAGAACAGUUAUAAAGUAAGAAAUUUUAAGACUCGUAUUUCCGCUGCGUCUUUUUUAAGGUUAAACGUUUUUGGGCGUAACAAGUUGGUAUCAGAGCCCUGGUUUGAGAGAAUCAAGUACAAGAGGAUAGGUACUUGAACUCGAACCUGUGUGCUCUUAUGACAAGAAACCCGUACAAUCCAAGACUCGAACAAGAUCUAAAAGUAGAAGCAAAGGUAAGUAUGUGCUUAAGUAUGUAAUGGAAGAUAACUAACUAUAUGUUAUGUGUAAGGUAAGCAUGGUUGCUUGGAAAGAAUGAUUUGUGGAUGCGGUCUAGCACCGACGCCAAGGUAUGUAAUUUGACAUAUUGACCCAAGUACAUAUGUUUAAUAUAUGUAAGUACAUGUGAUGGUAAAA